AAAAAAAACAAGGAACAUGAGCAAUUUAACUUAAAUAUGAUAUAUUUAUGGAUAAUGUAAUGGCAUACCAUUUCGUUCUAUUUAAAUUCUAAGCAGAAAAACAAGGAUGAUGGAUAGAACAUCACAGUUGCAAUAACUUAUAGAAAAAACAAGGUACAUAAAUAAUUUAUCUCAAAUAUGAUAUACUUAUUGAUGAAUUAUGUGAUAAUUCCAUUUAAUUAUCAUCCCAGAAAUAUCCAGUGAAGAGAAAAACAAGGAUGAAGAAUAGAAAAACACAGCUUUGAAUAUCCUGACUCCUGAGUAUCUUCUGAGUUGUUACAAUCUUACAAUGGACCACUUCGAGCUUAGACUUUUGGAAUACCUUCAACUGGAGCUCUCUGAGUUUCUUACAGGCUCCAUUGCCACCUUUUUCUCUAUCUAGUUCAUUUAAGCAAAGUUGAAAUAAUAUGGGAUCUUGCAGAGGCUAUGAAAAAAGAUGAAUAAUAAUAAAUAUGUGAGCAUGAAUAUUAUAAUUAUCUAC